rnacentral:lncRNA from 1 species
ACCAGCACUGAAUAAUAUUCCGCUGACCGGAGGCACCACAGUUUGUUUACCCACUCACCUCCUGAAGGCUUCCAGGUUUGGGCAAUUAUGAAUAAAGCUGCUAUCAACAUCCACGUGCAAGUUUUUGUGUGGAUGCAAGUUUUUGACUCAUCUGGGCAAAUACCAAGGGGUACAAUUGCUGGAUGGUGUGUGGCGGAUCAUAUGUGAAGGGUACAUUUAGUUUUGUAAGGAGCCACCAAACUAUCUUCCAAAGUGGCUGCACCAUUUGUGUUCCCACCGCAGCUCCUGUUAAAGCCCAGCGUGGAGAGUUCCUGUUUCUCAUCUGUGUACCACACCCACCACCAAUUUCAGAUGAAUUAAAAAACAGAAACCCUACUACAAUGUGGACACGGCAAGGACAAGGCAUAAUUCCAAACGAACACUGAUGACCGUGGCUU